rnacentral:rRNA from 1 species
UACGAAGGGGGCUAGCGUUGCUCGGAAUCACUGGGCGUAAAGGGCGCGUAGGCGGCUUUUCAAGCGUGCGGUGAAAGCUCGGGGCUUAACUCCGAGUCUGCCGUGCGAACUGGGAGGCUUGAGUCUGGUAGAGGUCGAUGGAAUUCCGGGUGUAGCGGUGGAAUGCGUAGAGAUCCGGAAGAACACCGGUGGCGAAGGCGGUCGACUGGGCCAGUACUGACGCUGAGGCGCGACAGCGUGGGGAGCAAACAGG